UGUUAGAAGGGCAAUUGGGAGAGGUGGGGACAUUUGUAGGUGAUGGUUGGCAGGCUGCCUAAGUCUAGCUCAUUACUGCCAUGUGGGAACACAGCACUGCUGCAAACCUACCAAAAGGCAAUUCUAUUAUAUCUGGAACACAGCAAUAUGAAGGCAGGAAGAGCCUAAUGCCUGAUGAGGGCUCACUCAACACUUUUGAAUGAAUGAGGGCCUUCACGCACAGAGGGUGGACUGUCCUGGGAGCAAUAAUGGGAAGAGAUGGCUGGUAAUCUGGAGGUCUCACAAUCAAGAGAGGAAAUAAUUGCAGAGUGAACUUGAGCCACAGCCAUGGGAUGGAGAGGAAAGGGUGAAAUGCAGUAGACAUUCUAAAGAAUUUUCAAAAAGCGGUGCUCAGCGAAAGACCAGAUGUGCAGGACUAGGGUGGUGAUGAAUCUUCCAGGGGAUGCCUGCGAUGAACUUGUCUGGAAGGCUGAAGGACUGGUCACAAGGGAGAAAAGAGCUAACUGACCUGGUGUCAUCUGUUCCCAGAAGAUGAAAGACAAAAAAUGAGGCCCAUAUCCCAACAGAAACCUGGCUCCAUUGAUUAGGCCAAAUGUGCUUCAGAAUUAUUGGUUUUUAACCCCCAAGCUGACAUCUUACCACCCACUGAGCAAUGGUAUGCAGAAAAAUAAGAUACAAAGCAUGCUGUUCAGGAAACUGUGAGGAAGGAGCUACCUCCUAGCAGAUGCCUUGAAACAGACCCUGAAAUGCCAAGAAACUAAGCCUACUUUUGCCCUGUCCCCUGCUACUUGGGAAGCUCUUGUAUGAACCAGCUUAGAAAUAAAUGCUGCAUUUAAGAGACUUCCGAAGCAAGCUCCUGUUCCUUGACGUUGGUGUCAGAAUCAAGCUUACUCUUCUAGGCCCUUGGAACCUGGGCAUAAAGCAUUCAGAGACGAAUAAGAGAAUGCAACGUGUCUUUUCCGAUGCUCUCUCUCCUUCAAAGCUCUCAGAUAAGUCGCCAUCAAACAUCUGAGGAGGAAGGAGGUGGAGGUGACAGUUCAUCAUGCAUCUGUGGCUUACACACAAGAAACCAUCAGUUCUCCCUCUUCUUUAUUUCCUUCUUUACAGUGGUUUCUGACUCCUUCUGCAAGAUCACACCCAGACAUCCCAACACAAUCACCAGGAUGGCUGACCAGGGAUGAGAAAAUGAACUAAGACUGCCAAAACCUAACACGAUAUUGAUGAGCCACUUUCACUGCGCCCCCCUGGUCCCCGAACCCAUAUGAAGUCAAAAAUUAAAAAUAGUU